rnacentral:lncRNA from 1 species
CUACCCCAUUUUUUAAAACCUCCACUAUGGCACUACCUCCAAAAAAGCCCACCAUAGUGGUUAGUGGAUGCUUAAGAGAAAAUAUUGCAUAGUGCAUGAAUCAAUUAUGUUGUCUGGAAAUAUUCAGCCCCCGAUCGAAUGCCUAGAUUAUGGGUUGGNAUCCUCAAACACAUUAAUAGACCCCAAACACAAAGAAACCAAGAUCAAAACACACAAAAUGGCUCCUCUUUCUUCCUCUUCCAGCUAUAAGCCUCACAUAGUUGUGUUUCCUUUCAUGUCAAAGGGCCACACCAUUCCUCUCCUCCACCUAGCACAGCUNCCCCAUUUUUUAAAACCUCCACUAUGGCACUACCUCCAAAAAAGCCCACCAUAGUGGUUAGUGGAUGCUUAAGAGAAAAUAUUGCGUAGUGCAUGAAUCAAUUAUGUUGUCUGGAAAUAUUCAGCCCCCGACUCGAAUGCCUAGAUUAUGGGUUGGGAUCCUCAAACACAUUAAUAGACCCCAAACACAAAGAAAGCAAGAUUAAAACACACACACACACACACACAAACACACAAAAUGGAUCCUCUUUCUUCUUCCUCUUCCAGCUAUAAGCCUCACAUAGCUGUGUUUCCUUUCAUGUCAAAGGGCCACACCAUUCCUCUCCUCCACCUAGCACAGCUCCUCCUCGACCGCGGCUUUGCCACCGUAACCAUCUUCACCACCCCUGCAAACCAUCCAUUCAUAUCUCAAUCUCUCGCCGGAGCUCAUGUUUCCAUUGUCGACCUGCCAUUCCCUCACAACAUCCAAGGUGUCCC